rnacentral:rRNA from 1 species
GAUGAACGCUGGCGGCGUGCCUAAUACAUGCAAGUCGAGCGAACGGACGAGAAGCUUGCUUCUCUGAUGUUAGCGGCGGACGGGUGAGUAACACGUGGAUAACCUACCUAUAAGACUGGGAUAACUUCGGGAAACCGUAGCUAAUACCGGAUAAUAUUUUGAACCGCAUGGUUCAAAAGUGAAAGACGGUCUUGCUGUCACUUAUAGAUGGAUCCGCGCUGCAUUAGCUAGUUGGUAAGGUAACGGCUUACCAAGGUAACGAUGCAUAGCCGACCUGAGAGGGUGAUCGGCCACACUGGAACUGAGACACGGUCCAGACUCCUACGGGAGGCAGCAGUAGGGAAUCUUCCGCAAAGGGCGAAAGCCUGACGGAGCAACGCCGCGUGAGUGAUGAAGGUCUUCGGAUCGUAAAACUCUGUUAUUAGGGAAGAACAUAUGUGUAAGUAACUGUGCACAUCUUGACGGUACCUAAUCAGAAAGCCACGGCUAACUACGUG